CCUACGGGAGGCAGCAGUGGGGAAUUUUGGACAAUGGACGAAAGUCUGAUCCAGCCAUGCCGCGUGCGGGAAGAAGGCCUUCGGGUUGUAAACCGCUUUUGUCAGGGAAGAAAUCUUCUGGGUUAACACCUCGGGAGGAUGACGGUACCUGAAGAAUAAGCACCGGCUAACUACGUGCCAGCAGCCGCGGUAAUACGUAGGGUGCGAGCGUUAAUCGGAAUUACUGGGCGUAAAGCGUGCGCAGGCGGUUAUAUAAGACAGAGGUGAAAUCCCCGGGCUCAACCUGGGAACUGCCUUUGUGACUGUAUAGCUUGAGUGCGGCAGAGGGGGAUGGAAUUCCGCGUGUAGCAGUGAAAUGCGUAGAUAUGCGGAGGAACACCGAUGGCGAAGGCAAUCCCCUGGGCCUGCACUGACGCUCAUGCACGAAAGCGUGGGGAGCAAACAGGAUUAGAUACCCUGGUAGUCCACGCCCUAAACGAUGUCAACUGGUUGUUGGGAAGGUUCCUUCUCAGUACGAAGCUAACGCGUGAAGUUGACCGCCUGGGGAGUACGGCCGCAAGGUUGAAACUUAAGGAAUUGACGG
rnacentral:rRNA from 1 species